rnacentral:rRNA from 1 species
UACGUAGGUGACCAGCGUUGUCCGGAUUUACUGGGCGUAAAGAGCGCGCAGGCGGUCGUUCAAGUCGAGUGUGAAAGCCCCCGGCUCAACUGGGGAGGGUCACUUGAUACUGAUCGACUCGAAGGCAGGAGAGGGAAGCGGAAUUCCCGGUGUAGUGGUGAAAUGCGUAGAUAUCGGGAGGAACACCAGUGGCGAAGGCGGCUUCCUGGCCUGUUCUUGACGCUGAGGCGGCGAAAAGCU